CAAUAGCGUAUAUUAAAACUGUUGAGGUUAAAACGCUCGUAGUUGCACAUCUGUGAGAGAAGUCCAGUCCACCCUAGUGGUGCGUACUGUGUCUAUCACUGACAUCUACCUGGAGAGAGCAUGUUCGCUUUAUUGCGUUCGUGCACACCCCAGGUCGUUUCCUUUGAGGAAAUGAAAGUGUUUCAAGCAGGCCACUGCCAUGAAUAUGUUAGCAUGGAAUAAUAACACAGGACCUUGUGUCGUUGUUGUUGGUCGACAGCACGGGGUAAUGAAAAUGUGGAUAGUUGGGGCAUUCGUUUUACAAUGUCAGAGGUGAAAUUUUUGGAUUAUUAAUAUUGUACGACGAACUACUGCGAAAGAAUUUGCCAAGGAUGUUUUUUAAAAUCAAGAACGAAAGUUAGGGGAUUGAAGACGAUCAGAUACCAU
rnacentral:rRNA from 1 species